CAGACGUUGUGUAAGAACGUGGUCCGGGUGGGGACUCUGAAGGACGGGGGUAAGGAGAUCUGUGCGGACGAACCCUACAGGCCGCGCGCUCCAUGCAUCAUAUACUCGUUCGGCAUAAACAAUGACUUUUCGUUUGACAAUGCGGCAGUAAAUAUGUUUGGAUGCGACUUGUACUGCUUUGAUCCAAGCAUGAAGAAGGCGUCACAACGCAUUUCAGAACAUAUAUGGUUUUACAAUUGGGGCCUUUCUGGAAAGAAUACGGUCACACGGGAUGGCUGGACGAUGAAAACUCUGAGAACCAUUAGAAAUGAACUCGGACAC